rnacentral:misc_RNA from 1 species
GAUGAAGAACGUAGCGAAAUGCGAUAAGUAAUGAGAAUUGCAGAAUUCAGUGGAUCAUCGAAUCUUUGAACGCACAUUGCGCCCCUUGGUAUUCCGAGGGGCAUGCCUGUUCGAGCGUCAUUUCAACCCUCAAGCUCUGCUUGGUCUUGGGCCUGGCCGUGAUGGCCGGUCUUAAAAUCAGUGGCGGUGCCGUCGCAGGCUCCAAGCGUAGUACAUCUCUCGCUCUGGAAACUUGGCGGUGCCUGCCAGACAACCCCUAAUUGUCUCUUUCGGUUGACCUCGGAUCAGGUAGGGAUACCCGCUGAACUUAAGCAUAUCAAUAAGCGGAGG